rnacentral:rRNA from 1 species
AAUAGAUACCCGGGUAGUCCACGCCGUAAACGAUGAGUGCUAAGUGUUAGAGGGUUUCCGCCCUUUAGUGCUGCAGCUAACGCAUUAAGCACUCCGCCUGGGGAGUACGGUCGCAAGACUGAAACUCAAAGGAAUUGACGGGGGCCCGCACAAGCGGUGGAGCAUGUGGUUUAAUUCGAAGCAACGCGAAGAACCUUACCAGGUCUUGACAUCCUCUGACAACUCUAGAGAUAGAGCGUUCCCCUUCGGGGGACAGAGUGACAGGUGGUGCAUGGUUGUCGUCAGCUCGUGUCGUGAGAUGUUGGGUUAAGUCCCGCAACGAGCGCAACCCUUGAUCUUAGUUGCCAGCAUUCAGGUUGGGCACUCUAAGGUGACUGCCGGUGAUAAACCGGAGGAAGGUGGGGAUGACGUCAAAUCAUCAUGCCCCUUAUGACCUGGGCUACACACGUGCUACAAAUGGAUGGUACAAAGGGCUGCAAGACCGCGAGGUCAAGCCAAUCCCAUAAAACCAUUCUCAGUUCGGAUUGUAGG